rnacentral:rRNA from 1 species
UACGUGGGGUGCGAGCGUUGUUCGGAAUUACUGGGCGUAAAGCGUGUGCAGGCGGCUUGUUAAGUCCGAUGUGAAAUCCCUGGGCUCAACCCAGGAAUUGCAUUGGAAACUAGCGAGCUGGAGUCCGGGAGAGGGUAGUGGAAUUCCUGGUGUAGAGGUGAAAUUCGUAGAUAUCAGGAGGAACACCGGUGGCGAAGGCGGCUACCUGGACCGGUACUGACGCUGAUACACGAAAGCGUGGGGAGCAGACAGG